rnacentral:misc_RNA from 1 species
GGGAGAUAAUAUCUACAACUUUGGGGAGCUUCUUGCACAUCCUAUUAUCAAAAGUCUGUUGGGCACAAAGGUCGAGUGGCUUUACUACAUUCUACAGGCAUUCAAUUCUGGUGAUUUAGUUCGCUAUCAAGAAUUAUGCCAAGUCCAUAAUGCAGCUUUAAGGGCUCAACCAGCUUUAGUAGAGAAUGAGAAGAAACUAUUAGAGAAAAUCAACAUUCUCUGCCUCAUGGAAAUUAUCUUCAGCCGGCCAUCUGAAGAUCGAACCAUUCCAUUGAAGGUUAUAGCAGAACGGACAAAACUUUCUAUAGAAGAUGUGGAGCAUCUACUAAUGAAGAGCCUCUCUGUCCACCUUAUAGAGGGUAUAAUCGAUCAAGUUGAGGGAACGGUACAUGUUUCCUGGGUGCAACCUAGGGUUCUGGGCAUUCAACAGAUCAAAUCCCUGCGAGACCGGCUGGACAAUUGGGUGGAUAAAGUGCAUUCUACUUUGCUUUCGGUCGAGGCCGAGACCCCUGAUCUCGUUGCAUCAUGAUCCUCUUCCUUUCAUCUCUAAACAAUUUAGCGGAGGGACAAAGGCCAGGAGAAACUACUGAUCCUUUAUAUGAUUUUCUGUGCUGGCUGGCUGCCUGGUUUUCAAGCUGUCUUUUCAACUUGCCUACUGCUUUCUUGAACUAUCUUCUAGGAAGCAGAAGCCUCUACUUCAGUCUAGUUAGUUUUAAAAAUGAGCAUGGAUUGGAGGAGUUGAGAAAUGGACUUAGAGAGUGGUUAUUAGACUUCCUUCUGUAUUUGUUCACUUUUGUUGCAUACAAUUGAUACAAUUGAG